UACGUAGGGGGCAAGCGUUGUCCGGAUUUAUUGGGCGUAAAGAGCGUGUAGGCGGCCAGGUAGGUCUGCUGUGAAAACUCGAGGCUCAACCUCGAGAUGUCGGCGGAAACCAUCUGGCUAGAGUCCGGAAGAGGAAAGUGGAAUUCCUGGUGUAGCGGUGAAAUGCGCAGAUAUCAGGAAGAACACCAAUGGCGAAAGCAGCUUUCUGGGACGGUACUGACGCUGAGACGCGAAAGCGUGGGGAGCGAACAGG
rnacentral:rRNA from 1 species